AUGGGGGACGGCAGCGCUGCCACAGGCUGCGCCUGCGAGCGAAGAACACAGUCAUCUCAGAGAACAUCACAGAUGGAUCCGACUAGAUCAUUCAAUCUCAGUGUUAGAAUGGAGACAUGCAUUUUAUAUGGUGCUGGUACAAAAGGAAAAGAACAAGGCUUCACAUUUCCAUUACUUGUGGACAAUAGUAGCACAUUUGAUCAGUUAAGGGCAACCAUUUGUGCCAAAUAUCCAUGGGGAUUAUAUGAUGCUAUGGAGAUAAGUAAAACCCAAGCUAAACCUAGCAUAGCUAUUGAUCCUGCUGUGGAGGAAGCAGAGCCUGAUGCAGAACCAUUGUAUGAUGAAGAGGAUGAGAAACUUUACCCAGGAUAUACUGAGCACAACAUUGAGGAAGAUAAAGCAAAUGAGUCCUACAUUCCUGCUGAAUUUUCAGAUACAGAUGAAGAUGAUAAGCUAGAGGAAAAGGACAAUGCAGAAUUUGGAACUGAAGAUGAGGACAUACCUGUAAUGAUAUCUCAGAGAUUGAGGGCUGCAAAGAGAAGAUGGAUAGCAGAUGCUUGUAUGCAGUGGCUUAGAAAUAAUCCAGGCAUGGGCCCAAAGGAAAUUCAGCAGAGGUUGACUGAGAAGUAUGGAGUGGAGCUGCCAUACAGUAGGUGUUAUUUUGGUAAAGAGCUGGCACUAGACAAGAUGUUUGGGAAGUACAGUGAGAGUUUCAGUCUUAUUUAUUCAUUCAAAGCUGAAGUUGAGAGAACAUCACCAGGCAGUGUAGUUGAAAUUGACAAGCACACUGUGGAGUACACAGUGAGAGGAAAGAAAAUGUAUAGGGAGUGCUUCAGAAGAGUUUUUGUGUGUUUCAAGGCAUGUCAAAAAGAUUUCUUGGAGGGUUGCAGGCCUUAUCUUGCUGUGGAUGCAACUACACUGAAUGGGUAUCCAGAUGGUUUAGUCAUACAUACUGAUGCUUGCAAAGGAUUGGAGACAGCUGUUGAUGAUGUAUUUGCUGGAGUAGAGCACAUGGAGUGCAUGAGACAUUUGGCUCAGAACUUCAGCAAGAAGUUCAAAGGCAAGUUCUAUGAUGACAAUGUGUGGCCAUGGUCACUUACAUACAACAUAAAGAAGCACAACUACCAUCUAAAUCAGUUGCACAAUAGGCCCAAAGUUAAAGAAUAUUUAGAGGAGCACCACAAAAAAAUAUGGGCUAGGGCACUCUUCAAUGAUACUUGCAAAGUGGACUAUGUGAACAACAACCUAGCUGAAGCUUUCAACUCAAGGAUCAAGAAAUACAAGGGGCUUCACAUAGUUGAUUUGUGUGACAAGAUCAGGCAGUAUAUUAUGCAGAAAUUUGAUAUCAGGAACAGGAUUGCCAUUGACCAUUUUGAAGGCCACUUGAUUGUUCCAUCUGUAAUGAAGGCCUUAAUGGCAAAAACAAAAGGUUUAGAGAUGACUUUGAUUAGGAGAAGCCCAAAAGUGGCUGAAGUUACAUCUACUGACAAAGAAAAAAGAGAAUGGAGGUACCCAGUUGACUUACAGAACUAG
rnacentral:rRNA from 1 species